CUCCAGGCAAAAAGUGAUAUAGAAUCUCAGGUAAUAUUAGAAUAACAUUAAUGUUUUUACACCAAAGUCAAUUGCAAUGCUUAUUAAUGUAAAAUUGAUUUCGGCAUAUAUUUCUAGAUUGUAUCUGCCAUCUGCCUCAUCCUCAACCAGAAAAAUGAAAAGAGGUUUCAAGAACAAAUAUACUGUCUCCCCCCCGAUAUUGUGAGCAUGGCACUUUCAGAUCACCCAAAGGGGGAAUUCAUAUCAUCGAAAACGAAAAAGGAAUUCAGGGUGGAAGCCUACCCGAGUUUCAUUCCCUUCAUAGAUAGAAAAAAAUUAACUUCGCAUCCAUAUAUUUUUGCUCCUGUUUGCCACUUGGGGCAUUGGUGGUUAUGGCUGAUAAAUACAACAAAG